UUUUUUAUUGAGAGUUUGAUCCUGGCUCAGGAUGAACGCUGGCGGCGUGCUUAACACAUGCAAGUCGAACGGACGGAUUGGAGCUUGCUCCAUGAAGUUAGUGGCGGACGGGUGAGUAACGCGUGGGUAACCUGCCCUAUGCAGGGGGAUAACGUUUGGAAACGAACGCUAAUACCGCAUAA
rnacentral:rRNA from 1 species